UAAGUUUAAUACUCCAUAUAAAAGAAACCAAGCUAAGCCAAGCCAUCUUAAUUAAUUAACUAAGUCAGCUGAAUUAAUGAUUUACGCACCUGUAAAAUGAAUCAUGGCAUAUAUCUACUCCAAGUGUAUUUCUUGAGUUUCCAUCGGCAGCUUCGUCCAGCCCAUGCAACUUAACCUCAAAUCAUACGCAUGCAAGUACAACAAACGUUUUAAUUAAACUUGAUAUAUAUAAUAUAUUUAUAUAUAGUAUGUAUAUUAAACCAUAUAUAUAAAUGUGUGUGACGGAUCCGGUUAGCAUGAAAUUAUUUUUUUGAUAAAUUGGUCAGUUAAUCAAUAGAAUACUGACACACUUCCUGACAUUAGUUAAAUAAUUUAUAUAUUUGAUGAAAUGCUCACUUUCUUUUGGAGACGGGUGUUCUCUUCUUGAAGGGCUCUCUGCUGCAUUGCCACAAAAUAAUUAAGAAUUAUGUGAGUGACAUUACGUACGUACUAAUUAAUUAAGUCAGUAUACAUAUACAUAUAGCUAGCCGCCUAUGAAAUCUCGAUCUGAUC
rnacentral:lncRNA from 1 species